CUUUUAAUCCUAACCCUUGAUCUAGAAAGGCUAUUGAUCUUAAACUGCCAUGUGGCAGCUCUCAGAUCCCUCUUUCCUUUCAUCUCUGCCCGAAACACAUCUCAGAAUCUCAGUGCUCUCUUUCUUUCGGUUUCUUCUCUCUCUUUCUCACACUUUCUAAGCUCCGAGAGCUUCUCUCUAGCUUUCACCUCACUUCCCUCACAAAUCAAACCCCAAAACCAUAUAUUUGGGAUCCUUGAGACUUAACGAACUCAAUGGUACCCUUGCAUGCGCCAUCAGAGCACUGUGGACUUUUAUGCCAUUGAAGCUGAGAGCUUCAAAGCUCUAAAACUCGAACCCAGAACCCGGUUCCGACAACGAACUCCGGCAAGUUUGUUGCUGUGGAUUGCACGGAUCCCUUCGAACCUAAACCCAGGUCUUAGAAACGAGGCAUAGAAUCCUGGCAUCAAGGCACUUCCGCAUCGGCAUCUUCGAGUCAUUUCGGAGUAGGACCCAUCCCUUCAUUCAUUUAAUUUUAUCUUAAUUCUUUUUAGUGAUUAGGUUUAGUUAUGUGUUCUGAACACGUUCCUAA